UUAUAUAGGAUCACUUGAGUCUUGGUAGUCACUACGCAGAAAUAUUUUUCCAUAUUUCAACAUUUUGGUGACAAAAAUAGGAAGUCUGAAAUCUGCCUUUCACCAUGAUACUGCUACCAUCUGCACUGAAUCUGGAUGCAUGGAAAACAUCAAGUGCUGGACAGACUGGAUGACUGGACCGUGACAACCCAACUGGAACUGGAGACUGGGAGACUGUCAGUGACCUGAAGACGGAGUACCCC